GUGCCAGCAGCCGCGGUAAUACGGAGGAUCCAAGCGUUAUCCGGAUUUAUUGGGUUUAAAGGGUGCGUAGGCUGUUUUUUAAGUCAGAGGUGAAACGCCGGAGCUUAACUUCGGGAGUGCCUUAGAAACUGGAAGACUUGAGUACAGAUGAAGUUGGCGGAAUGCGACAAGUAGCGGUGAAAUGCAUAGAUAUGUCGCAGAACCCCGAUAGCGAAGGCAGCUGACUAAGUUGUAACUGACGCUGAUGCACGAAAGCGUGGGGAUCAAACAGGAUUAGAAACCCCCGUAGUCC
rnacentral:rRNA from 1 species